UGGGGAAUAUUGGACAAUGGGGGCAACCCUGAUCCAGCAAUGCCGCGUGUGUGAAGAAGGCCUUCGGGUUGUAAAGCACUUUCGAUGGGGAAAAACAAGCCAGACCUAAUACGUCUGGCCCUGAUGGUACCCAGAGAAGAAGCACCGGCUAACUCUGUGCCAGCAGCCGCGGUAAUACAGAGGGUGCAAGCGUUAAUCGGAAUUACUGGGCGUAAAGGGUGCGUAGGUGGUUUGCUAAGUCAGGCGUGAAAUCCCUGGGCUCAACCUGGGAACUGCGUUUGAUACUGGCAGACUCGAGUCUGGUAGAGGGUAGUGGAAUUCCGCAUGUAGCGGUGAAAUGCGUAGAUAUGCGGAGGAACAUCAGUGGCGAAGGCGGCUACCUGGACCAAGACUGACACUGAGGCACGAAAGCGUGGGGAUCAAACAGGAUUAGAUACCCUGGUAGUCCACGCCCUAAACGAUGGGUACUAGACGUUGGGAAGUUUAUCUUCUUGGUGUCGCAGCUAACGCAUUAAGUACCCCGCCUGGGGAGUACGGUCGCAAGAUUA
rnacentral:rRNA from 1 species